CGCGUAGGCGGGCAAUCAAGUCUGAGGUGAAAUCCUCCAGCUUAACUGGAGAAGUGCCCCGGAUACUGGUUGCCUCGAGGAUGGUAGGGGCAUCUGGAACUAGCGGUGGAGCGGUGAAAUGCGUUGAUAUCGCUAGGAACUCCGGUGGCGAAGGCGAGGUGCUGGACCAUUUCUGACGCUGAGGCGCGAAAGCCAGGGGAGCGAACGGGAUUAGAUACCCCGGUAGUCCUGGCCCUAAACGAUGAGAACUAGAUAGUGGUCUUGAUAUGAGAUCACUGUCGGAGCAAAAGUGCUAAGUUCUCCGCCUGGGGAGUAUGGUCGCAAGGCUGAA
rnacentral:rRNA from 1 species